rnacentral:tRNA from 1 species
GCGAAUUACCGCGUAGGCGAUGCGGUUGGCUACGAACCAUGAGGUCGGGGGUUCGAAUCCCUCCGGGCGCGCCA